ensembl:misc_RNA 7SK 7SK RNA
CCUCACCAGAAGCUGAACGCUUAGCUGAAGAGGAGGCUCCUUCCCACAGAGGAGGUCCAUUCUUCAGUCAGGAAUAGCUGAGCAGUGGUGUUUCCCUGUCAGAGCCUCUGAAGAAGAUUUCAGAAUGUCAC